GAUGAAGAACGUAGCGAAAUGCGAUACGUAAUGUGAAUUGCAGAAUUCAGUGAAUCAUCGAGUCUUUGAACGCACAUUGCGCCCCCUGGUAUUCCGGGGGGCAUGCCUGUCCGAGCGUCAUUGCUGCCCUCAAGCACGGCUUGUGUGUUGGGCCCCCGUCCCCGGUUUCCCCCGGGGACGGGCCCGAAAGGCAGCGGCGGCACCGCGUCCGGUCCUCGAGCGUAUGGGGCUUUGUCACCCGCUCUGUAGGCCCGGCCGGCGCCAGCCGACACCCAACUUUAUUUCUAAGGUUGACCUCGGAUCAGGUAGGGAUACCCGCUGAACUUAAGCAUAUCAAUAACGGAGGA
rnacentral:misc_RNA from 1 species